CCUACGGGAGGCAGCAGUAGGGAAUCUUCGGCAAUGGAGGAAACUCUGACCCAGCAACGCCGCGUGAGUGAUGAAGGUCUUCGGAUUGUAAAGUUCUGUUCGAAGGGAAGAAGGAAGUGACGGUACCUUAGGAAUAAGCCUCGGCUAACUACUUGCCAGCAGCCGCGGUAAUACGUAGGAGGCGAGCGUUUUCCGGAAUGACUGGGCGUAAAGGGUGCGUAGGUGGUUUGUCAAGUUAGUAGCGUAAGCCCAAGGCUCAACCUGGGAACUACUACAGAAACUGUUGGACUUGAGUGCAGGAGGGGAGAGCGGAACUCCUAGUGUAGCGGUGGAAUGCGUAGAUAUAAGGAGGAACACCAGUGGCGAAGGCGGGUUGCUGGACUGCAACUGACGCUGAGGCACGAAAGCGUGGGGAGCAAACAGGAUUAGAUACCCGAGUAGUC
rnacentral:rRNA from 1 species